rnacentral:rRNA from 1 species
AACGAACGCUGGCGGCAGGCCUAACACAUGCAAGUCGAGCGCCCUUUCGGGGGAGCGGCGGACGGGUGAGUAACGCGUGGGAAUAUGCCCUUCUCUACGGAAUAGCCUCGGGAAACUGAGAGUAAUACCGUAUACGCCCUGUGGGGGAAAGAUUUAUCGGGGAAGGAUUAGCCCGCGUUGGAUUAGGUAGUUGGUGGGGUAAUGGCCUACCAAGCCGACGAUCCAUAGCUGGUUUGAGAGGAUGAUCAGCCACACUGGGACUGAGACACGGCCCAGACUCCUACGAGAGGCAGCAGUGGGGAAUCUUAGACAAUGGGGGCAACCCUGAUCUAGCCAUGCCGCGUGAGUGAUGAAGGCCUUAGGGUUGUAAAGCUCUUUCAGCUGGGAAGAUAAUGACGGUACCAGCAGAAGAAGCCCCGGCUAACUCCGUG